UGCCAACGCACCAUCUACAGCGUGUCACGUAUCUUCAAACAGAGAAUGUAAGGGUUGAAUAAUAUCUUCUGUUAAACGGCACACUCCUGGAAUCAUGAUGCUCUGGGGUCUUUUUGUAUUAAGAUGACCUGAGCAACGGAGAUGUGAGCUGCUCCGACAUGCUGAAAGCUGAAUUCUGCCGGCUUCCUCUCGCUGCAAACAUGGACACAUUUACACACCAAGGGAGGUCGAUAACGCGCUCCUGCAGUCUUGGGGACACGCUGACCAGGAGCGCCACUUUCCACGCUUUAACCCAGACCACAGACCACCAGGAAGAGGAGGGGUCGCUACAACGACGCAAAACCGUUG